CCGCUCGCCCGUGCUCUCUUUUCUUUUUCCCUUCGGCGGCGCUCUCUUUUUUCAUUUUCGUCGGUCUGGAUCGGGCGCGGGGCGUCGGCGGAGGAGAGAGAGAACGGCGGCGGCGGAGGUGGAGGGGAGGACGGCGGCGGCGGCGGAGUCGGAGCCGGCCCGGCACGAGACGGCCGCGGGCAGCCGGAACUAGGCCGGAGCGUCCUCCUCGAGCGGGAGCUCCUCCUGAGCUGUCCUCCUCCCCUCGUCACGGAGAAGAGGAGGGGAAGCGAAAAGAGGAGGGGUGCAAGAUCUAACCCGUGUUCAGUGGUGGUAUGUUCUCGUACCCAACGUACUAGAAGUACCACCCGCACCACCUCGUUCCUCCCUCCUCCUAUCGCUACCCCCUUCCUCUUCGUUCCAACCUCGAGGUCCUAGAUGCAACCGCACGGCGACCUCACCUACUCACCAGCAGGCAACGCGCGGCCGGCAGCAGGGGCAGGGGUUAGACCCGACGGAUAGCACUCACGAACUACAAUGGAGGUAGUCGACUACUCCGCUCCGACGACGACGACUUUUUACCACGACGAUGGCCUCCGUCACCUCUCCGUAAGGCACCUGGUUGAUACCACACCAAGUCUAUCAGGUUCCUCACCUUUGAUAUUGGAACAGUUUAAGAUGUGUAUCGGUAAUACUGCUGUGUAAAUACGCUAUCUAACAGUUAUAAAUUCAACUAUGUGAUUUCUGCCUCUACACCUUUCGAACGGUGCCUCCGUGUGUCCGAACGACUAAGACAAAACCUAAACAGGAACUCUCCUCCGGCUUCGUUUGAAGUUGUCCGUAGUCAUUUUAGGUACGAAGAUCGCAUACAUCUGCGGAGACCGCAGCUUGACUUCUCUGCUCCUUCUUUCCCCUAUGUGUUCGAGCAACCUAGGUGAGCGACGGCGAAGUAUAAGUCGAGAAGUACCCAGUGCUGACAGCGAUAAGCACCCGGCCCGAUUUAUUGUAUACCCGGUAGCUUUAUGAAUAGAGGUAUAUGCGUCUUGUCUUUCUAGUUUUUAGAGUGUUACCUUCUGUACCUGUAACCGUAGCAGACACUCUGCCAAGGGGUCCUAGUCGUCGUAGUUCCUGUCGUUGCGGACGCGGGUUACUCUUACUGAUAGACUAUCAUUAAGGAAUUCGGGUGUAUAAGCGGGACCACGACUUUCGAGACUUCAAUGGGGGGCGUUGAAUAAUAGUGUUCUAUACGGGUCCGCCUUUCUUAGCACACUGCCAAUGAAAGUAAAGAAGAAACCUUAACGAGCUACCACGUGAACAAGGUUCAAGAGACAGUCCACGUUAGAAUCUAUCGAUACUUCUACGACUUCUGUCACGACGAUAACUUCGAUAAUCUAUGUACCUUUUACGUAUACCGUUUCUUUACUCCCUGAUGGUGAUGUGAGUACAGUUCUUCGAAGUUUUAGUUCACUGCGUGGACCAGUUUACCGACCAACGUAGUUUAUUUUGUUAGUUCUUCGACACGUUUUGUACGAUGAUGCGGCAGUCCAUAUACUCGAGUAUAAAACGGGUUUAUCUUUUGUGUUGCUGACGAGCCGUAAACUUUCCCGCCCUAUCGUUUCCCUCAAUACUUUUGUCGCGACCGUUCGUAACUUCCUGACUGCGUCUCCGAUGCGAUGUAACGAUACUUCAAACUCGUCGCGGAGCUUCGUUGGUCUUUAUCAAAGACCACUCGAAACCAGUUACACAGGACUGCAUAGCUAGUCUGUUCCUAGAAAGCGUAAAACCGCAUGAGGUUCGUUCUAUACACAUGCGAAAUCAGAAUUGAACGACGGAGAUACGACUUUUCAUCACAUACUAUAUCAGAUGCUAGAAAUUUGAAACAACAAUAGAGACAUGAGUCUUCGCCCAAUAGUAGCGAAUGACAUAUAUACACUUCCGGAGAAGAAGACGAUAAGAAAGGUCCGGUGACGAAGACACCACUUUUCAUAACAUAUUACAUCAGAUACUAGAAAUCUAAUAUAACAAGAGAAACAUCAGUUUUCGUCAAAAAGUGGCGAAUAAGAUAUAUAUAUAU
rnacentral:rRNA from 1 species